UGCAACCAGUGUCUCUGCCUACCCGAUCCU
rnacentral:piRNA from 1 species